CUAAAGAAUUAGAGAAUUAAUCAUUUAAUUAUGAAAAUAUAAUAAAAAAUUGAUAGAAAAAAGAAAAUACCACAAACCUACUAUAAGAUUUCUCGAAUAUUUUUUCAUGCUUUAAAUCAUGAAGAAACCUAUCUAAUUUUAUUUUGAAGACCCGUGAAAUGAUAUAGGACAUUCAGAAGGUUGUUGGCUCAAUAUAUUUUUCAAAAAAAAAUUAAUUUUGGGCCAUUUAGGAUUACAAGUAAAUAUAAUAAAUAGAUUAGGAUAAUCUACCCAAUAAAUUAUUAUAGCAUCUUGAUAAUUCUAUAUAAAAUAUUUAGGACCACC
rnacentral:lncRNA from 1 species